rnacentral:rRNA from 1 species
UACGGAGGGUGCAAGCGUUGUCCGGAUUUAUUGGGUUUAAAGGGUGCGUAGGCGGUUAAUUAAGUCAGUGGUGAAAUCCUGGAGCUCAACUUCAGAACUGCCAUUGAUACUGGUUGACUUGAGUACAGACGAGGUUGGCGGAAUUGAUGGUGUAGCGGUGAAAUGCAUAGAUACCAUCAAGGACACCGAAUGCGAAGGCAGCUAACUAGGCUGUAACUGACGCUGAGGAGCGAAAGCGUGGGGAGCAAACAGG